GCGAGACAUCUCUCACCCUCCCUCUCGAAACUUCUUUUCUUUUCCUCUACAACAGUGGCUAUUAUUCUCUUUUCUAUUCAUUUCAUCUUCUUUUUCUCCAUUGAAGCCACACUAAAUCUCACCAUAAAAAACAUACUCAUAUGAAGGAAAAUUAUGGCAAUCAAGUGGAAAGGCUUUUGGGAUAAUUUUGGGGGCUUAGGGUUUGUGCUCUAAGGAAGGAGAAGAGUACCCACUCCUACAGAAUUAUUCUUUCUAUUUCAUUGAGAUUCGUUGGCUAGUGGUUCGUUCGGUUGGCAUGGAGCUGUUGAGAGCGGUUCAGUUGAUUCGCCAUAGCUGUCUUAUUGACAUCAAGGGCAUUUUGGAGAAUUGCGGAAUGAAGAUUUAAUUGUGCUGGAGUUAAGAUUGUAUUUUAGGAAAUAUUAGGAUUUAAUUUCGGAAUAAAUUAAGUUUGCUAUCUUUAAGAUUCAAACUUAUUUAGGUUGUUAUUUUAAAACUCUAUCUUUAGGAUUUAUUGUUAUCUUCUAAGAUUUGUUUUUUAUUAGGAUUUGUGAUCUCAGCUCCUAUUUAAGGGUUUGUGCUGAGACAAACAAUGACCUUAGACCUUCUGCUUAUUAUUAAAUAUAAUUUCGUUUUUCAGUAA